GACGAACGCUGGCGGCGUGCUUAACACAUGCAAGUCGAACGGGCCUGUCUUCUUUUUUGGGGGUGGGUUGAGUGGCGAACGGGUGAGUAUCACGUGAGUAACCUGCCCUUCGGUCCUGGAUAACCGCUUGAAAGGGCGGCUAAUACGGGGUGGUCCGGUUGGUCCGCAUGGGCUGGUCGGGAUAGAUUCACUGUUUUUGGUGUUUCGGCGGGGGAUGGGCUCGCGGCCUAUCAGCUUGUUGGUGGGGUGAUGGCCUACCAAGGCGGUGACGGGUAGCCGGGCUGGGGGGGGGGGGCGGCACAAGGGGACUGGGAUACGGGCCAGACUCCUGCGGGAGGGAGCAGUGGGGGGUAUUGCACAAUGGGCGGAAGCCUGAUGCAGCGACGUCGCGUGAGGGAUGGAGGCCUUCGGGUUGUGAACCUCUGUUUCCGGUGGUGAAGGCCCUGUCCGUGUGGUGGGGUUGACGGUAGCCGGGGAUGAAGCGCCGGCUAACUACGUG
rnacentral:rRNA from 1 species